CCUACGGGAGGCAGCAGUGGGGAAUUUUGCGCAAUGGGGGAAACCCUGACGCAGCAACGCCGCGUGGAGGAUGAAAUCCCUUGGGAUGUAAACUCCUUUCGAUCGGGACGAUUAUGACGGUACCGGAAGAAGAAGCCCCGGCUAACUUCGUGCCAGCAGCCGCGGUAAU
rnacentral:rRNA from 1 species